GGGUCGUUAGCUCAGAGGUAGAGCAGUUGGCUUUUAACCAAUUGGUCGUAGGUUCGAAUCCUACACGACCCA
rnacentral:tRNA from 2 species